CGUGGGCGUUCGAAACUUGAGGAGGUUCUUCUUUAGUACGAGAGGAUUUAGAAGGACGUAGCUCUGGUGUUCCAGUUGUCGCGCUAGCGGCACGGCUGGAUAGCUAACUACGGAAAGGAUAAACGCUGAAAGCAUCUAAGCGUGAAGCCCUCUCCAAGAUCAGGUUUCGUAAUCCGCAUUGCGGAGAAAGUCCCCUGGAAGACGACCAGGUUGAUAGGCCAGAUGUGUAAGCACAGCAAUGUGUUCAGCUAACUGGUACUAACGGACAAAAGCUUGGCCACAU
rnacentral:rRNA from 1 species